rnacentral:rRNA from 1 species
CAGGUGGUCAGGUAGAGAAUACCAAGGCGCUUGAGAGAACUCGGGUGAAGGAACUAGGCAAAAUGGUGCCGUAACUUCGGGAGAAGGCACGCUGAUAUGUAGGUGAAGUCCCUCGCGGAUGGAGCUGAAAUCAGUCGAAGAUACCAGCUGGCUGCAACUGUUUAUUAAAAACACAGCACUGUGCAAACACGAAAGUGGACGUAUACGGUGUGACGCCUGCCCGGUGCCGGAAGGUUAAUUGAUGGGGUCAGCGCAAGCGAAGCUCUUGAUCGAAGCCCCGGUAAACGGCGGCCGUAACUAUAACGGUCCUAAGGUAGCGAAAUUCCUUGUCGGGUAAGUUCCGACCUGCACGAAUGGCGUAAUGAUGGCCAGGCUGUCUCCACCCGAGACUCAGUGAAAUUGAACUCGCUGUGAAGAUGCAGUGUACCCGCGGCAAGACGGAAAGACCCCGUGAACCUUUACUAUAGCUUGACACUGAACAUUGAGCCUUGAUGUGUAGGAUAGGUGGGAGGCUUUGAAGUGUGGACGCCAGUCUGCAUGGAGCCGACCUUGAAAUACCACCCUUUAAUGUUUGAUGUUCUAACGUGGACCCGUGAUCCGGGUUGCGGACAGUGUCUGGUGGGUAGUUUGACUGGGGCGGUCUCCUCCUAAAGAGUAACGGAGGAGCACGAAGGUUGGCUAAUCCUGGUCGGACAUCAGGAGGUUAGUGCAAUGGCAUAAGCCAGCUUGACUGCGAGCGUGACGGCGCGAGCAGGUGCGAAAGCAGGUCAUAGUGAUCCGGUGGUUCUGAAUGGAAGGGCCAUCGCUCAACGGAUAAAAGGUACUCCGGGGAUAACAGGCUGAUACCGCCCAAGAGUUCAUAUCGACGGCGGUGUUUGGCACCUCGAUGUCGGCUCAUCACAUCCUGGGGCUGAAGUAGGUCCCAAGGGUAUGGCUGUUCGCCAUUUAAAGUGGUACGCGAGCUGGGUUUAGAACGUCGUGAGACAGUUCGGUCCCUAUCUGCCGUGGGCGCUGGAGAACUGAGGGGGGCUGCUCCUAGUACGAGAGGACCGGAGUGGACGCAUCACUGGUGUUCGGGUUGUCAUGCCAAUGGCACUGCCCGGUAGCUAAAUGCGGAAGAGAUAAGUGCUGAAAGCAUCUAAGCACGAAACUUGCCCCGAGAUGAGUUCUCCCUGACCCUUUAAGGGUCCUGAAGGAACGUUGAAGACGACGACGUUGAUAGGCCGGGUGUGUAAGCGCAGCGAUGCGUUGAGCUAACCGGUACUAAUGAACCGUGAGGCUUAACCUUACAACGCCGAAGGUGUUU